AUGGCGACCGGCGCACGGGUGAGUAACACGUAUCCAACCUGCCGAUAACUCUGGAAUAGCCUUUCGAAAGAAAGAUUAAUACCGGAUAGUAUACGAAUAUCGCAUGAUAUUUUUAUUAAAGAAUUUCGGUUAUCGAUGGGGAUGCGUUCCAUUAGUUUGUUGGCGGGUAACGGCCCACCAAGACUACGAUGGAUAGGGGUUCUGAGAGGAAGGUCCCCCACAUUGGAACUGAGACACGGUCCAAACUCCUACGGGAGGCAGCAUG
rnacentral:rRNA from 1 species